rnacentral:rRNA from 1 species
AAAACUUUCAACAACGGAUCUCUUGGUUCUGGCAUCGAUGAAGAACGCAGCAAAAUGCGAUAAGUAAUGUGAAUUGCAGAAUUCAGUGAAUCAUCGAAUCUUUGAACGCACAUUGCGCCCGCCAGCAUUCUGGCGGGCAUGCCUGUUCGAGCGUCAUUUCAACCCUCGACUUCUCGUCUUUAUGGCGACGAAGCCGGUGUUGGGG